rnacentral:rRNA from 1 species
UACGUAGGUGGCAAGCGUUGUCCGGAAUUAUUGGGCGUAAAGCGCGCGCAGGCGGUCCUUUAAGUCUGAUGUGAAAGCCCACGGCUCAACCGUGGAGGGUCAUUGGAAACUGGGGGACUUGAGUGCAGAAGAGGAAAGCGGAAUUCCACGUGUAGCGGUGAAAUGCGUAGAGAUGUGGAGGAACACCAGUGGCGAAGGCGGCUUUCUGGACGGUAACUGACGCUGAGACGCGAAAGCGUGGGGAGCAAACAGG